GGGCUCACUUUGGCAGCACAUAUACCAAAAUUAGAAUGAAACAGAAAAAUCAGCAUGACCCUUGUGCAAGAAUGACAUGCAAAUUCCUGAAGCAUUCCAUAAUUUU
ensembl:snRNA U6 U6 spliceosomal RNA